rnacentral:rRNA from 1 species
GUGUCAGCAGCCGCGGUAAGACGGAGGAUGCAAGCGUUAUCCGGAAUGAUUGGGCGUAAAGCGUCCGCAGGUGGCAAUUCAAGUCUGCUGUUAAAGCGCAGGGCUUAACUCUGUAAAGGCAGUGGAAACUGAAUAGCUAGAGUGUGGUAGGGGCAGAGGGAAUUCCCAGUGUAGCGGUGAAAUGCGUAGAGAUUGGGAAGAACAUCGGUGGCGAAGGCGCUCUGCUGGACCAUAACUGACACUCACAGGACGAAAGCUAGGGGAGCGAAUGGGAUUAGAUACCCCAGUAGUCCUAGCCGUAAACGAUGGAUACUAGGUGUUGUCUGUAUCGACCCGGACAGUGCCGUAGCUAACGCGUUAAGUAUCCCGCCUGGGGAGUACGCACGCAAGUGUGAAACUUAAAUGAAUUGGCGGGG